GAAAACCGCUACAGAACCACCCACCACAAUAGGACCAAGUGGCGUGGUAACAGGCAGCAGCAGCAGCAGGAGAGGCAGCGAUGUCAGGACUCCUGGACAUGGGAGGACGUUUUGAACGGCAAGGGUUGCUACACAUGGGAGGAGAACCUGGCUGGAAGGGAUCGCCUCCCAUGGGAACAGGUGGAGGCAGCUAGGAGGGCAGAGGCAGCCGGAGAGAGGAGCCAGCGAUAUGAGGGAACACGGCUGGCAAGGAAGCCCGAGAGGCAGCCCCAAAAAAAUCUUGGGGGAGGCACAGGGAGAGUGUGGCAGAGUCAGGAGUCAGACCUGAGCCAACUCCCCCUGUUUACAGUGAGGAGCCAAGGAUGGAAUCAGAGCAGUCGGCGAAGUUGAGGUGUGCGUCUGAGAAUGUGGAGGAGUUAUUGACAAAUUGGAGGAGAGUGAAUGGAGGGGAGGUUAUGAGACAUUCGAGGAGUUGUUGAUCAAAUUGGAGGAGAGUGAAGAGAGAGAGCUGUCGGUUUGGUGCAGUAUGCACGGCACUCGUCCUGAGGUGCGUGCUAGCCGUCGGGUUAAGACUGUGCCAGCCUCACGCACCAGGUCUCCUGUGCACCUCCCUAGCCCUGCAUGUCCUGUGCCAGCUCAGCGCUACAGUGCUCCUAGCCGUGCUAAU
rnacentral:lncRNA from 13 species